AAUCUGGAGACAGGUGCUGCAUGGCUGUCGUCAGCUCGUGUCGUGAGAUGUUGGGUUAAGUACCCGCAACGAGCGCAACCCUUGCCUUUAGUUGCCAGCAGUUCGGCUGGGCACUCUAAAGGGACUGCCGGUGGUUAAACCGGAGGAAGGUGGGGAUGACGUCAAGUCCUCAUGGCCUUUAUGACCAGGGCUACACACGUACUACAAUGGCCGAUACAAAGGGCAGCGACACUGCGAGGUGAAGCCAAUCCCGUAAAAUCGGUCUCAGUCCGGAUUGGAGUCUGCAACUCGACUCCAUGAAGUUGGAAUCGCUAGUAAUCGUGGAUCAGCAUGCCACGGUGAAUACGUUCCCGGGCCUU
rnacentral:rRNA from 1 species